rnacentral:tRNA from 1 species
GGUAAGGUGGCCGAGUUUAAGCGGUGGAUUGUAGCCCCACAGACAGGGAUUAAGCCCCCUUCUUACCA